GUGGAUUAGAUACCCUGGUAGUCCACGCCCUAAACGAUGUCUACUAGGUGUGGGGAGAAUCGACCCUCUCUGUGCCGGAGCUAACGCGUUAAGUAGACCGCCUGGGAAGUACGAGCGCAAGCUUAAAACUCAAAGGAAUAGACGGGGAUCCGCACAAGUGGUGGAGCAUGUGGUUUAAUUCGACGGUAAGCGAGGAACCUCACCAGGGUUUGAAAUCUAGCUGGAGAGCCCAGAAAUGGGAAGUCCUUCGAGGCUGCUAGACCAGGUGCUGCACGGCUGUCGUCAGCU
rnacentral:rRNA from 1 species